AUUGAACGCUGGCGGCAGGCUUAACACAUGCAAGUCGAGCGGAGAUGAGGUGCUUGCACCUUAUCUUAGCGGCGGACGGGUGAGUAAUGCUUAGGAACCUGCCUAUUAGUGGGGGACAACAUUCCGAAAGGAAUGCUAAUACCGCAUACGUCCUACGGGAGAAAGCAGGGGAUCUUCGGACCUCGCGCUAAUAGAUGAGCCUAAGUCGGAUUAGCUAGUUGGUGGGGUAAAGGCCUACCAAGGCGACGAUCUGUAGCGGGUCUGAGAGGAUGAUCCGCCACACUGGGACUGAGACACGGCCCAGACUCCUACGGGAGGCAGCAGUGGGGAAUAUUGGACAAUGGGGGGAACCCUGAUCCAGCCAUGCCGCGUGUGUGAAGAAGGCCUUAUGGUUGUAAAGCACUUUAAGCGAGGAGGAGGCUACUGAGACUAAUACUCUUGGAUAGUGGACGUUACUCGCAGAAUAAGCACCGGCUAACUCUGUGCCAGCAGCCGCCGUAAUAC
rnacentral:rRNA from 1 species